rnacentral:tRNA from 1 species
GGGGGCGCAUGUACUAAGGGUAGCGACGAAGCCUUGCAAGUUUCGUGUUAUGGGUUCGAUUCCCAUCGUCUCCACCA